AGGUAAACUAUACAUCCCAGUACCUACAACUCCUAUAAAUAAUGGUGAAUUCUCCCCAAACCUCUCUAGUAUAUUCAGUCGUCGAUCAAUUUCUGUAUUUGCUGUGUGUCACAGAAAAGGAUAGGAAAGGGUUAGGCAGUAGACGGGGGUCAUGCAAAUUUCACAUCAAUGGAAAGAGUAAGAAACACUGGGAUGUAGAGGAAACAGAUAAAAUCUAGGAGGAAAUUGCUCCUGUAUGAAAACCUUCACUUGGGUGGUGGGCAGUAUGGUAUUUGUGGAGGACAUUGGCAGGGCUCUUGGACAUUGUAAUGAAGUAUGAAUUUUUGGAUUACACAUGUUAUGUUUAAUUGUGUUUGUGUUUUAAAAGGGUAAGUAUUGCAGUUAUUGCAUCUCAGCACUCAGAGGCUGGUUGCCAUGGAGAAGUGGGCGGAGCCAACUGCCGUUUUGUUGAAGAAGUGCAGAGUUUAAAAAGGGGAUUCAGUCUGUGCCCUGAUGAGGCACAGGGAAGAUUGAUCCUAGGUUGAGGGGAUCACGGAGACUCAAUUGUUCAUUUUGAGUUGGUUUAAAAUAAAUUUGGUGACUUAUUUAAUGUAGUCUGUGUCCUGGUAAGGAACAGAGAAUCUGUGAUUGUAUAUCACAGGGGCGACUGCGGUUUAAAAGUAGCAGAGGAAGAAAUUCUAACUACUUUAAGUAAAAAAAAAAGUGACACUUUAGUUUGACUCACCUCAUUCUAGUAUUGUAACUGUUAAUUAAAGUGCCUCUAAGUGAGAAACAAAAUUGUAACCACUAAGCUCUGUGCCUGAAUAAAAUUGUUAUUGUUCCUCCAACAUCUAAGCCUCUGUCGUAUAUAUUAUAAACCAAGUUGCGUUACCAUCUAAAGUAAAGAAGAAGAAGAAAGAAAAAAUAUUAAAAGGUCUCCUCUCGGUGUCUUUGGUGGCUGCAUCAUUGCAAAUUGGUGGCAGCGGUAGGAUAAAAAGAUUCCCCCUGCCUGAAAGGACCUUAGUCUUUCUUAGUCCUUUACAAAUUGGUGGCAGUCGUUAUUAGUUCUUUACAGACAUGUUCACAGUGCUCGCUAUAACCUGCAAUGUCAUUGGAAGGAGGGCCAGUGGUGUCUCCUGAGUAGUGGGAACUAUAGCUGUUUGUGGAAGUGGGAGCUUGUCUACAUAAGUGGACACACCAGACACAUACAUACAUACAUAUUUUCAUUUUUAUUAUGUGUAUAGACUAGUAUAUGUAACUGCUGUUGCCCAGGUGUGAGAGAGGCCACUGCCCCAAUUAUCCCCCCUCUCUCCCCCCUCUCUCUUUCUCUUUCUCUAUCUCCCUUUCACUUCUCUUCCCUUCCCUCCAUUUUCUUUCUCCACCCUCCUUUAAUUCCUUCACCUUUCCUUUCUUUCCCUCCCUUCCUCUCAUACACAUGUCAUCUUUCUUUCCCAGUGACAUCACAGAGGGCCACUUCAUCUAGCAACAGAUUCAUACAUAUAUACAUACUUUGACAUGUGUGUGUAUAUAUAUAUGAUUUUGAAAUUUGCCCCCAAAGCAGCAGCAUUUCCAUACCUCAAGGUGAAAAACUGGAAAAACUCAAGACCAUGACAAUGGCAAUGAAAAGUGAAUGGAGGAGAUGCUUUCGUGGCACAAUUAACCCACUUUUGAACUGAAAGGGGUUUCCCAUGAACAAUUUCACUGUGUCUCUGUUGAAAGUCUCUUACCAUCUUUUAUAAUUCCAUCCGGUUUGUUUUUUGUUUUUGUUUUUUGUAUGUUGAGCAAAUGAAGAGUAAGGGGAUUCCAACUCCGAUCCGAGUUAGAAAACAUUCACACAAUUCUGCCUUUCCAACUUGUCAACACAAGAUGGCAUCUAUUUUACACUUAAGAAGGGGAGAAAACCUCUUUCCAACUUCAUGGCCAAAUGCAGCAGCAUGCCAGUAAAUCGGUGAAUUGGAGUAUUUCUCUUUCAAAUAUGGUAAUUUACUAUGGAGUGGUUUUAAGGAAACACAUCAAUUAACAGAUAUCGCCGAAGGCAGACUCCUUGCUCAACAUCUGUUCUUUCGUUGCUGAGAAUCCAGCAAAAAUACAUUAUGGAGAGGAAAUACAUCAUGCACUAAAAGUCAUGCUCAGAGAACUGAGACCAAAAUAAAUUCCACGAUGGAAAGGGUUUGUAGAUGUAACCACACCACUGUCGUGUUUAGAGCUGAACUGAUAUGACAGCUGUUUUUGGGUGUCGGCGCCGGUGUUGUCAACAGUACUGCAAAUGUCAUCUCCUCCUUUUGACAUGCUCGCUUCUUGUGAGAAUGCUCAGCAAUUCAUUUUUCAGUAACAAACCGUGCCAGAUGCA